rnacentral:rRNA from 1 species
UACGUAGGGCGCAAGCGUUGUCCGGAUUUAUUGGGCGUAAAGAGCUCGUAGGCGGUUUGGUAAGUCGGGUGUGAAAUCUCCACGCUCAACGUGGAGGGGCCACUCGAUACUGCCAUGACUCGAGUCCGGUAGAGGAGUGUGGAAUUCCCGGUGUAGCGGUGAAAUGCGCAGAUAUCGAGAGGAACACCUGAGGUGAAGACGGGUUGCUGGGCCGACACUGACGCUGAGUGCGCGAAAGCCAGGGGAGCAAACGGG